rnacentral:rRNA from 1 species
AUUGAACGCUGGCGGCAUGCCUUACACAUGCAAGUCGAACGGUAACAGGUCUUCGGAUGCUGACGAGUGGCGAACGGGUGGGUAAUACAUCGGAACGUGCCUAGUAGUGGGGGAUAACUACUCGAAAGAGUGGCUAAUACCGCAUGAGAUCUACGGAUGAAAGCAGGGGAUCGCAAGACCUUGUGCUACUAGAGCGGCCGAUGGCAGAGUAGGUAGUUGGUGGGAUAAAAGCUUACCAAGCCGACGAUCUGUAGCUGGUCUGAGAGGACGAUCAGCCACACUGAGAAUGAGACACGGCCCAGACUCCUUCGGGAGGCAGCAGUGGGGAAUUUUGGACAAUGGGCGAAAGCCUGAUCCAGCAAUGCCGCGUGCAGGAUGAAGGCCUUCGGGUUGUAAACUGCUUUUGUACGGAACGAAAAGCCCCGGGUUAAUACCCUGGGGUCAUGACGGUACCGUAAGAAUAAGCACCGGCUAACUACGUGCCAGCCGCCGCCGUAA